AUACCACGAAAUACCGACAGCUUUAAAUUCUUCGCUUUGACUCAGCAUUUGUCAGUUCUCCGCCCGUGUUCAACGAAUCAGGUCGACCGUAAUCAUGAAGAUCAUUUUUUUUAUAAUCUCCAUGUUCCUGGCCAUCGCGAUGGCUCGGCAGGAUUGCCUCUGUCCGGACCUUCAUCGGCCAGUUUGCGGCGUUUCCGGCGUAACCUAUGAAAAUAUAUGCAGAUUGUUUUGCACAAAUGACCAAUUAGCAUACUCCUCGCGUUGCAUCUGACGAGAUCGACUGAACUGACCGAGGAUUACUGAACGAUGUAAACGAUGUAAUGAAUAAAAUAUAAUAUAUUUUGAUAAUGAA